rnacentral:rRNA from 1 species
GCGGCGUGCCUAAUACAUGCAAGUCGAGCGGACAGAUGGGAGCUUGCUCCCUGAUGUUAGCGGCGGACGGGUGAGUAACACGUGGGUAACCUGCCUGUAAGACUGGGAUAACUCCGGGAAACCGGGGCUAAUACCGGAUGGUUGUUUGAACCCGCAUGGUUCAAACAUAAAAGGUGGCUUCGGCUACCACUUACAGAUGGACCCGCGGCGCAUUAGCUAGUUGGUGAGGUAACGGCUCACCAAGGCAACGAUGCGUAGCCGACCUGAGAGGGUGAUCGGCCACACUGGGACUGAGACACGGCCCAGACUCCUACGGGAGGCAGCAGUAGGGAAUCUUCCGCAAUGGACGAAAGUCUGACGGAGCAACGCCGCGUGAGUGAUGAAGGUUUUCGGAUCGUAAAGCUCUGUUGUUAGGGAAGAACAAGUACCGUUCGAAUAGGGCGGUACCUUGACGGUACCUAACCAGAAAGCCACGGCUAACUACGUGCCAGCAGCCGCGGUAAUACGUAGGUGGCAAGCGUUGUCCGGAAUUAUUGGGCGUAGAGGGCUCGCACGCGGUUUUCUUAAGUCUGAUGUGAAAGCCCCCGGCUCAACCGGGGGAGGGUCAUUGGAAACUGGUGAACUUGAGUGCAAAAGGAGGGAGAAGUGCCACUUCCACGUGUAGCGGUAAAGUGCAUAGAGAGGUGGAGAAACACCUGUGGACCAGGGUAACCUCUCUGGCCUGUCCCUGCACCCCUGAUGAGUAAAAGCGUGGGGAAGCGAAACAGGGAUUAGAUUACCCUUGGUAGUCCAACGCCGUAAAACGAUGAGUGCUAAAGUGUUAAGGGGGGUUUCCCGCCCCUUUAGUGCUGCAGCUAAACGCCAUUUAAGCACUCCGCCUGGGGGAGUACGGUCGCAAGACUGAAAACUCAAAGGAAAUUGACGGGGGCCCGCACAAGCGGUGGAGCAUGUGGUUUUAAUUCGAAGCAACGCGAAGAACCUUACCAGGUCUUGACAUCCUCUGACAAUCCUAGAGAUAGGACGUCCCCUUCGGGGGCAGAGUGACAGGUGGUGCAUGGUUGUCGUCAGCUCGUGUCGUGAGAUGUUGGGUUAAGUCCCGCAACGAGCGCAACCCUUGAUCUUAGUUGCCAGCAUUCAGUUGGGCACUCUAAGGUGACUGCCGGUGACAAACCGGAGGAAGGUGGGGAUGACGUCAAAUCAUCAUGCCCCUUAUGACCUGGGCUACACACGUGCUACAAUGGACAGAACAAAGGGCAGCGAAACCGCGAGGUUAAGCCAAUCCCACAAAUCUGUUCUCAGUUCGGAUCGCAGUCUGCAACUCGACUGCGUGAAGCUGGAAUCGCUAGUAAUCGCGGAUCAGCAUGCCGCGGUGAAUACGUUCCCGGGCCUUGUACACACCGCCCGUCACACCACGAGAGUUUGUAACACCCGAAGUCGGUGAGGUAACCUUUUAGGAGCCAGCCGCCGAAGGUGGGACAGAUGAUUGGGGUGAAG